CAGUAGCCGCGGGAAUACGGAGGGUGCAAGCGUUAUCCGGAUUUAUUGGGUUUAAAGGGUCCGUAGGCGGACUUAUAAGUCAGUGGUGAAAGCCUGUCGCUUAACGAUAGAACUGCCAUUGAUACUGUAAGUCUUGAGUAUAUUUGAGGUAGCUGGAAUAAGUAGUGUAGCGGUGAAAUGCAUAGAUAUUACUUAGAACACCAAUUGCGAAGGCAGGUUACCAAGAUAUAACUGACGCUGAGGGACGAAAGCGUGGGUAGCGAACAGGAUUAGAGACCCCGGUAGUCCCUGUCUCUUAUAA
rnacentral:rRNA from 1 species